CAUUUCUUGUUCAAUAACAUGUGGUGCUCUUGCAAUUAAAUUGUGUAUGUACGUUUCUAAAAUCUAAUCUUCAACCUGAUUAUAUAAAACAUUAAAAAAAUAUAAAAUUAAUAAUGUUAACAAAUUAAUAAUGAAUUUAAUUAAAAUUAAAAAAAGUUAAUAAUAUUUUUCUUACCAUUUGCAGUUGGACGUCGGGAAUGUGCUUGUCAUCAAAACGAAUAAGCGAAAUUGUCAUUAUAAAAAUCAAUUAAAAACGAAGAAAUUACAAAAUAUAAAAUUAAAACAACAGGGUUUUGAGAGAAAUUGAAUGAAAAAUUGAGAACUAGAAAGUUGAGAGAAUUUAGAGAAUGA
rnacentral:lncRNA from 1 species